AUGGCGCCCGGGCUGGGGCCGUGGCUGCUGGCCUUGUCCUUGGCCGCGGGGCCGGCAGGGGUGUGGGCGCAGCUGAGGCUGGAGGCGGCCGGCGGAGGGCUGCGAGCGCCCGGGGACUCCGUGCUCCUCUCCUGCCGCAGAUCCGGCUUCACCUUCGGGAGUUAUGCCAUUCUGUGGUACCGUCAGGCACCCGGUGGCAGUCUGGAGUGGGUGUCCGUUAUCAGCUAUGAUUCGUCAGUCAUUCGGUUCGGGCAGUCAGUGGAAGGUCGAGCCACAGCCUCCCGGGACAAUUCCCGGUCUGAGGCAUCUCUGUCCCUGCGUGCCCUGCACCCCCGGGACUCUGCCCGCUACUUCUGUGCUGUUCGCACGGAGAGAGGAAAUCCAGCCGAGCUUUAACACAAACCUGCUGGGGCCCGGUCCAGGCUGCACGAGGUCUGGAGCCGGCGAGUGCUGAGGUGGCUCAGGACUGUUCUCAGGAAGAGAGUGGCCAUCACUGCGCACCGCGGGGUGGUCCUGGCCUUUCUGCAAGAGCUCCUUUCCUGGCACCGCCAAUUUCCAUCUCCUGAGUCCCAA